UGACAUGUGGCACCAAGUUCAGCCACAUUUCACCCUAUAAAUACCACCUCUCCCACCCUCAUUUUCUUCACACCUUUCCCAUUCUUUCUUCUCUUUACUCUCUCUCUCUCUCUAGAACCUCUCUCUAGCCCCGAAAUCCCCCGAAAAGCCUAGGGAACCUCCCUAGCACGAGGCGGAAGCCCCGGAGUGCUCGAAGGCUCCGAGAAGAAGAGCUUUUCGGCUCGGGAACGCUGCUCCAAGCAAAGCCCGGUUUUCUAUAAAACCCGCUGUUUCGUCGAAGAAAAUUCUUUUUAAGAAGCGAAGCGCUGUCUGAGUUCGGAAUCACCACCUUUUCAGGUAGUGGCGCUUGAGCAUAUAUAUGAUGUUUGGACGAGGGAUUACGGAUAUAGGCCUGUAGAUAUGAAAUAAUGUAGUAAGGCUUGUAUUGUACUGUUUAUGCUUUUGAUCUGUACGAACAUGACAUCCCGAGUCUUUUAAUGAAAUACAUUUCUAUGGAAA